rnacentral:rRNA from 1 species
UACGAAGGGGGCUAGCGUUGUUCGGAAUUACUGGGCGUAAAGCGCGCGCAGGCGGUCUUCCAAGUCAGUGGUGAAAGCCCGGAGCUCAACUCCGGAACUGCCAUUGAAACUGUUGGACUUGAGUACGAGAGAGGUGAGUGGAAUUCCCAGUGUAGAGGUGAAAUUCGUAGAUAUUGGGAAGAACACCGGUGGCGAAGGCGGCUCACUGGCUCGUAACUGACGCUCAGGCGCGACAGCGUGGGGAUCAAACGAGGAU